UACGUAGGGUGCAAGCGUUGUCCGGAAUUAUUGGGCGUAAAGAGCUCGUAGGCGGUCUGUCGCGUCUGCUGUGAAAACUCGAGGCUUAACCUCGGGCUUGCAGUGGGUACGGGCAGACUAGAGUGCAGUAGGGGAGACUGGAAUUCCUGGUGUAGCGGUGAAAUGCGCAGAUAUCAGGAGGAACACCGGUGGCGAAGGCGGGUCUCUGGGCUGUAACUGACGCUGAGGAGCGAAAGCAUGGGGAGCGAACAGG
rnacentral:misc_RNA from 1 species